rnacentral:rRNA from 1 species
GAGGGAUAUUGGUCAAUGGGCGCAAGCCUGAACCAGCGACGCCGCGUGGGUGAAGAAGGUCUUCGGAUCGUAAAGCCCUUUUCCCACUGAAGAGGAAGGACGGUAGGUGGGGAAGAAGUCUCGGCUAACUACGUGCCAGCAGCCGCGGUAAAACGUAGGAGACAAGCGUUAUCCGGAGUUACUGGGCGUAAAGGGCGUGCAGGUGGCGUCUUAAGUCUGUUGUGAAAGCGCCUGGCUUAACCGGGCGAGGCCAAUGGAGACCGAGAGGCUGGAGGACGGCGGAGGGGUGUGGAAUUCCUGGUGUGGUGGUGAAAUGCGUAGAGAUCCGGAGGAACACCAGAGGCGAAGGCGGCACUCUAAGCCGUACCUGACACUGAGACGCGACAGCACGGGGAGCAAACG